UACGUAGGGUGCGAGCGUUGUCCGGAAUUAUUGGGCGUAAAGAGCUCGUAGGCGGUGUGUCACGUCGUUCGUGAAAACCUGCAGCUUAACUGUGGGCGUGCGGUCGAUACGGGCAUCACUGGAGUUCGGCAGGGGAGACUGGAAUUCCUGGUGUAGCGGUGAAAUGCGCAGAUAUCAGGAGGAACACCCGUGGCGAAGGCGGCUCUCUGGGACGGUACUGACGCUGAGACGCGAAAGCGUGGGGAGCGAACAGG
rnacentral:rRNA from 1 species